GAUGAACGCUGGCGGCGUGCCUAAUACAUGCAAGUCGAGCGAACGGACGAGAAGCUUGCUUUUCUGAUGUUAGCGGCGGACGGGUGAGUAACACGUGGAUAACCUACCUAUAAGACUGGGAUAACUUCGGGAAACCGGAGCUAAUACCGGAUAAUAUUUUGAACCGCAUGGUUCAAAAGUGAAAGACGGUCUUGCUGUCACUUAUAGAUGGAUCCGCGCUGCAUUAGCUAGUUGGUAAGGUAACGGCUUACCAAGGCAACGAUGCAUAGCCGACCUGAGAGGGUGAUCGGCCACACUGGAACUGAGACACGGUCCAGACUCCUACGGGAGGCAGCAGUAGGGAAUCUUCCGCAAUGGGCGAAAGCCUGACGGAGCAACGCCGCGUGAGUGAUGAAGGUGUUCGGAUCGUAAAACUCUGUUAUUAGGGAAGAACAAAUGUGUAAGUAACUGUGCACAUCUGGACGGUACCUAAUCAGAAAGCCACGGCUAACUACGUG
rnacentral:rRNA from 1 species